GCAGAUAGUGUGUGUAAUAGCAGACGUGUCGAGAGGGUAGUUACUGUGUGCAUCUGUGUGAGUUAGUAACCAGAUAACAAAAACGAGGGCGUUUUUAAUCACUAGCUUCUGGAGUGCAAUGUGAUAUCAGUUCCCCUGCACGCAGAUCUGCGUGCGCUUAAUGAAUGGUGUGUGUACGCCAUUGUGGGGAACUCGCACACCAUCCGUCACCUGCUCAAUCGAAACCGGUCCAUAUUGUGAUUCCUGAGCAGUGCGGGAAGCCGUCAAGAGGUGGCAGCUCACACUUUUCCUGUGCUCCACUAAGCAGGUCUAGCAAGAGAAAGGAAAAGAUAAAAGUGCCCUUUAGACGCGCCAGAAUCUAAUUACAGCGUGGGGCCGAGCAGCUGAGGGCUACGCACCCAAAUUCGCCUUUCUGGCAGUUCUGGGAUUUGAAGUCCUUCACCGUCACUAGCGACGAUGAUCUACAGCGGUCCGUGUUUAUUAGGAUAUUUUUUCCCCUCCAUGCAGCAUUGGAAGUACCAAAUUUCUACCAGGAUUAGCAGUACAGGACGUACACUACAGCGAUUCCUGAAAAUGUGCAUCUGACAUUACAGAAACUGAGCACAAAAAAAAAAAAAAAAAAAAAAAAAA